rnacentral:ribozyme from 14 species
AAUAUUGACAUAUCAAAAAUCGGAUGCGUGAAAUAAAGAAAAGAAGAAAAAAAUGAAAAACGAGACCACUCUUAAAAAGAAGUUCUUGCUUAUUUUUUUUUACUCUCAAUUUCUUUCAUCCA